UCAGACGAUGCGUCAUGCAUAUCAAUAAGCGGAGGAAAAGAAACUAACAAGGAUUCCCUCAGUAACGGCGAGUGAAGCGGGAAGAGCUCAAAUUUGAAAUCUUGAAAGGUCACCUUUCACGAAUUGUAGUUUAAGGAAGUGUUUUCUGUUACGAUCGUAAUAUAAGUUCUUUGGAAUAGGACAUCACAGAGGGUGAGAAUCCCGUCUAUGAUUGCGAUUUGUAGCUUGGUGAUACACUUUCAAAGAGUCGGGUUGUUUGGGAAUGCAGCCCAAAACGGGAGGUAAAUUUCUUCUAAGGCUAAAUAUUGGCGAGAGACCGAUAGCGAACAAGUACCGUGAGGGAAAGAUGAAAAGAACUUUGAAAAGAGAGUUAAAUAGUACGUGAAAUUGUCAAAAGGGAAGCGUUUAACACCAGUGUUGUUUUCUGAAAAUCAACCUCUGUUAGCUUUAUGCAUGUUUGUUUAGACCUAAUCAGCUAUCUUGCAUGUUCUAUUGUUUGCAGUGGUGCACUUUUCAGUUUACAGGUCAACAUCAGUUUUUUUUACCGCAAAAAGUUAAAGAAAGGUAGCUCAUGGCUCCGGUCGUGAGUGUUAUAGUCUUUUUCCUAUGCGGUAGGAGAGACUGAGGUCUGCAGUGUAGGCUAUUUGGCUAGAUACUCAGGUGCUAUGUGAUACCAUUUCAUAAACAACUUGUUGAUUAUGUUUUGUCUAUUGCAUACUCGCUUGUACUAUCAUACCUACGCUUAGGAUGUUGACUGAUAUGUAGUCGU
rnacentral:rRNA from 1 species